rnacentral:rRNA from 1 species
AACGAACGCUGGCGGCAGGCCUAACACAUGCAAGUCGAACGUGAAGCCACCUUCGGGUGGUGGAAAGUGGCAGACGGGUGAGUAACGCGUGGGAACGUGCCUUUCGGUUCGGGAUAACCCAGGGAAACUUGGGCUAAUACCGGAUACGCCCUCCGGGGGAAAGAUUCAUUGCCGAAAGAUCGGCCCGCGUCGGAUUAGCUAGUUGGUGGGGUAAAAGCCUACCAAGGCGACGAUCCGUAGCUGGUCUGAGAGGAUGACCAGCCACACUGGGACUGAGACACGGCCCAGACUCCUACGGGAGGCAGCAGUGGGGAAUAUUGGACAAUGGGCGCAAGCCUGAUCCAGCCAUGCCGCGUGGGUGAAGAAGGCCCUAGGGUUGUAAACCCCUUUCAGCGGGGAAGAUAAUGACGGUACCCGCAGAAGAAGCCCCGGCUAACUCCGUGCCAGCAGCCGCAGUAA